rnacentral:rRNA from 1 species
UACGAAGGGGGCUAGCGUUGUUCGGAUUUACUGGGCGUAAAGCGCACGUAGGCGGAUUGUUAAGUCGGGGGUGAAAUCCCGGGGCUCAACCCCGGAACUGCCUUUGAUACUGGUAGUCUCGAGUCCGGAAGAGGUGAGUGGAAUUCCGAGUGUAGAGGUGAAAUUCGUAGAUAUUCGGAAGAACACCAGUGGCGAAGGCGGCUCACUGGUCCGGUACUGACGCUGAUGUGCGAAAGCGUGGGGAGCAAACAGG